CGCUUCACUAACCUUGAUACGUUCGCCUCCUCUUAUCCACUUGUUACAAUGGAGAUUGAACACCAUGGAUCCCCGCUUAAGUUUCCUGGCACUCGGAAGCAAAACAACAAAACUGACCGAACCCGAAGCUGCAAGGUGACGCUGUUGUUCCAAAAUGGAGUUAGUCGAGUGACAGCCAACCAGAGUGGAGGCUCCCACUCCACUCCUUCGUGGGUUGGAGCCUAACCCCCUCUCUGCAACUCAACAUCACACGCUUACACAAAAAUCAUAUUUUUGAAGGGGGGCGGGGGUCUUACUGUGUGUUUCGUGUGUUCCCUUAACAGCUUUUAGUGGCGCAUCGAACCAGUAAGUAGACACCCACCUGAUGAGGCGUCCUCCUCGGAUUUGUAUUAUAUCAUCCAUCCACGGAGGAUGCUCGAUCAAAUGUAAGCAGUAAAUGUGAUGAUCAUUUCUGUAAUCCACCAUGAAAGAUGACUGAUCGAUUUAGUGAUUAAUCCAAAUUAGACAUUCGCAAACAUUCGCUUUUACUUUAGAAAUUAUUUUUUUUUUUUAAAUGUGCAUAUUUUCUGACAUGUUACGGACCAACCCAGGAAGUGAAUCAUAGUCAAUUUGUCUUUGCAUUUUCUGCGCUAUCAUUUUGAAAUAAUGUCCUGUUUUUGAAUAAAGAGAUGGAAAUGA